rnacentral:rRNA from 1 species
CCUCAAAUCAGGUAGGACUACCCGCCGAACUUAAGCAUAUCAAUAAGCGGAGGAAAAGAAACUAACAAGGAUUCCCCUAGUAACUGCGAGUGAAGCGGGAAAAGCUCAAAUUUAAAAUCUGGCGGUCUUUUGGCUGUCCGAGUUGUAAUCUAGAGAAGUGUUAUCCGCGCUGGACCGUGUACAAGUUUCCUGGAAUGGAGCAUCAUAGAGGGUGAGAAUCCCGUCUUUGACAUGGACUACCAGGGCUUUGUGAUGCGCUCUCAAAGAGUCGAGUUGUUUGGGAAUGCAGCUCAAAAUGGGUGGUAAAUUCCAUCUAAAGCUAAAUAUUGGCGAGAGACCGAUAGCGAACAAGUACCGUGAGGGAAAGAUGAAAAGAACUUUGGAAAGAGAGUUAAACAGUACGUGAAAUUGCUGAAAGGGAAACGCUUGAAGUCAGUCGCGUCAUCCAGGGAUCAACCUUGCUUUUGCUUGGUGCACUUUCUGGUUUGAUGGGUCAGCAUCAAUUUUGACCAUUGGAAAAAGGUCAAGGGAAUGUGGCAUCUUCGGAUGUGUUAUAGCCCUUGGUCACAUACAAUGGUUGGGAUUGAGGAACUCAGCACGCCGCAAGGCCGGGUUUUUAACCACGUUCGUGCUUAGGAUGCUGGCA